UUUUCUCGUUCCCGUCUGCGCGCAGAACCCCCCUCCAUCUCUUUCAUCUGUCGCCCCCUCAUUCUCCAUCCGGCAGCCGCCGCCCCCUCCCCUUCCACCCAUCGCUGGCCGCCGGAACCAACCCCUCCAUCCGCAGGCCGACGGCGCCUCCCCCUCCACACUCCGGCCGACGGCGCCUCCACCUCCAUCCGCCGGUCGCCGCCGGCCACCGCUCCUCCUCUUCCACCCACAGCCGGCUGCCGGCGCCAACCCCUCCAAUCGCUGGCCGCCGGCGCCAACCUCUCGAUCCAUCGGCCACCGCCCAGCUAGCUACCGACCCCUCCCUCUCGGCUGCCGCUUUGUCGUCCUCCCGGCCGGCUGCUGCCCCGUCCCUCUCUCGGCUGGCUGGUGCCCCAUCCCCCUCCCGUCCGGCUGCUCAGCUGCUCCUCCACGUCCUCCUCCCGGAAGCAAAGGAGAGGGCAUGACAUGGUGAUGUUUCUUCUGAUGAUUCGUGCACCGAAUUAAGGAAGCAGAAGGCACGAGAUGGCAAUAUUUGAUGACAAUCGUAUUAGGAGGCGACAAAUCAACGGAGUACUUAGAAGUUUAUAUUCUAUCUAUUGCAAGCUAGUUAUAUUCACUGUUUAGAGGAUUUGAAACAGAUGCAAACUAGGUUAAUGUACAGGGGAUUUGCAAUGUCUACUACUUUUAGGAUUCUUCCUUGAAAUUUAUGUGCAUGUGAUGGGAAAAUGUGUGAACACUCAGAAUUCAAGUCAUAUAUGGUUCAUGUCCAA